UACGUAGGUGGCAAGCGUUGUCCGGAUUUAUUGGGUUAAAGGGUGCGUAGGCGGCCCUGUAAGUCAGUGCUGAAAUAUCCCGGCUUAACCGGGAGGGUGGCAUUGAUACUGCAGGGCUUGAGUGAAGUCGAGGUAGGCGGAAUUGACGGUGGUAGCGGUGGAAAUGCUUAGAUAUCGUCAAGAACACCGAAUAGUGAAGACAGCUUACUAGACUUCAACUGACGCUGAGGCACGAAAGUGUGGGAUCAAACAGG
rnacentral:rRNA from 1 species